UCUCGUCACAGCCCCCUUUAAUGACGUGUAAGGGUUGUCAAGUGUAGCUGUGCUGUGGCACUAAACAUUACGGUAAAGACGUUGUAUGCCGUUGCCAGGCGAUGACGGCGGGACGUGCCAACUUUUGGAGUGAAGAGCACAAAAGGCACCUAACUUUUAUUAUUUUUAUUUUGUUUUUACGAGUGACAUCCUGUGCCGUUGUAACAUUUCAUUGACGGGUUAUUGUUGUUUUUUUGUUUGUUUGUUUUUUAUCGGUAGAGGAGGUUUAAGGUGAGUAUGUUUUUGAGUUCGUUCAAAGCUAAUUUUCUGAAAUACCCUAUGGGGUGGAAAAGCUACAACGUCGGCUAAAACAGUUCCUCUUGCACAAAGACGUCAUAGAAAUAAGCCCCUGACAGUAAAUAUUGACGUAACGGGCACAUUAUCCAAGUUCACUUCAAACACUUUAUCUCACACACCUCCGAGCGCUUUGGUUUGCUGCGAUACGUCAGCGCGCCUACCAUAUUGGAUGUGGCAGAUCUUCCCUCGGCCUGAACAUUUUAAAGCACAAGAAAGUACUAAAUUUGCCUUUUCCUGUACGCUUUGUUUUUCAGGGGGUGGAAUAUGAGUGAUUAAAUUUUUUCACCACCAAAAGUUUGUGGUUUGUAGGCCCGCACACGACAACGUAUUCGCCCUAAAUAAUUUAUGAAGGCAAUAAUAUAAAACAGUUCUCUAAAAUAAGGCCAUGGACAGGGAAUAUCCUUCCAUCCAUUUUCUUCUGCCUAUCUGAUGUCUUAGUUCUUUGAAUCUGUUGCAUCAUCAGCGUUCAUGCUCCCUGGUUCACAUUCCGCCAACCCGUUGCUGUUUGUUUUUUCCCACCUUAUUCAAUCUGAAUCACUUAGUUAAGAUCUCAACUGCAGUUGGUUUCCCGGUCUCUGUUUAUCAUUUCAUUUCCGUGGAGACUAAAAAAGUAACAAAGCCACUUUUGCAAUUUAAGGAUUGGUAGAAUUUACUGUACAGGUAAUAACUGCUUUCAAAUGGAGUACUGUAUGAUUAAAAAUUCACAAGAACUACUAAAAGUUGAGUACAAAUGCCUGAAAAUCUACUUUGACUGCAGUAAGAAUGUACUCUUACUUCAUUACUUCCCAAGAAAGGACCGAAUAUGAUGCACGUCACUUUUAAACUUAUGAUUAUAAAUGUUUACGCCUUACAAGUGUGAGAUGGAGGUAAGCACCAAGCCAACAUAUGUGCAGUGUUUCAAAUCUUUCCAUGACUGUAUACGGCUGACAAUGAAUUUAACCAGGUUCAUGUGAUGAUAAAUAUGUAUAUUAAAUAUCCAAAUGUUGAUUUUUGUGUGUAUACUAAACAUAUCCUGAAAUUAUGUUAAGUUAUGACACUUUUUCUGAAUAAAGGGGAAUGGUGGAUUGGUCCAUAUUUCAGCAGGAAAACAACUUAGUACUUAGUCAAGAUACUGAAGGAGUUACUUCAAGGACUACUCUUGAUAUCCUUGAGUAGUCCAGCAGAAGCCAAAUCUUGAAUCCAAAUGAACAUCUCGGGAGCGAUUUGAAAAUGGACGUGCACCAACAAUCCCCUUCAACCAACUGAGGCUGCAAAGGAGAAUUGGUGAAACUGACAAAGAUGGGCUGUGCCAGACAUGUGGCUUCAUGCACAAUAUGUCAGAAAGCUUCCACGACUAGGGUAAUGAAAGAUGUAUUUCACAAUCUAACCACAAAGUUUUCUGCUUUGUAGUAUAUAUUAGGUUUCAUUUAUUACACUUAUUAUAACCCUCUAAAGGGAAAUUCAGCCAACACUCUCACACUCCUUUGUGUUGCACAUUGCCUGGAGAACCAGAUAUAAAACAUCCAGCAUGUAAGGGCAGAUGUCGGUGCAAGAGGCAUGAAAAUAACGCUGCACACCUUCAGCUGAGGGGUGGGGACCAGGCCUACCUGUAGGGCACCUUAACAGUAACCAGCAAACAGAGAAUAGCUUGUCUCCAACAAUGGUGGCCAUGUUUACAUUUUUGUCUGACCCUUCAACUCCACAGCCGAAAAAUCGAUACAAAUGAGCUCCCCCUCCAACCCCGCCCCCAAAAGCCUAAAACACCUUCCCAGCCUUCUCUGCCAUAUCUUCAUACUCUCCUCAAAAGAUUCUUGCAGUAUCCUGCACAGCUCCGUCGGAAGAGAAGAAGAAAAGAUCACAAGGAUGCAGUGAGUAGGUUGCGCUAGCAGUUUGAUGUUCUUUUUUUAGCCAGGAAGUGUUGGAUGCUUGGGGUCGUGAGCCAAGGAGUCAUAAGUUGUCCUUCUAAAACUCUCCUUGCAAGUUUUGUUUGUCAAACUUGUGUACACAUGAGGAAUUGCCUGUUUCACUAAUCAAUAGGACUUGUCCCGCUCACUCCUGUCGAUGAUUUCCAUCGCAGAUUCACAUACAAGACAACGGUGACUCAUGGCUCAUGAACUUCGAAGUCAAUCAGCUGAUGUGAGCAAAAAUGCUCACCCAGCAACUCGGCGCCUGGGAUCUCAAUCUCUGGUCCAUAUGGGUCUGGCUUUAGGAUCUGAAGGCUUUCAGUUUGAUGACAGAGGGAUGCUUCUUCCACACAGCAUCCUGGGUACCUUGGAUAGCUUUAGAAACUACUUGGAGGCUAGAGGAGAGACAGAGCUGGUUAGGCAAAUCCCCAAUUUCAGACGAGACUGUCCAUCCCAGGUCCUUGGGAAGCAUCCUCAUGAGGGAGUACACAAUCGGCGAGAUGUUCCUUUUGGCCAAAGAAACAUACAAGCAAACGCACUGCAGCAUUGGGAUGAAUAUAUCAAGCAGCGCAGACGACAGCAGAACAUCUUAUCGGAACGGCUCCAAAGGCCAGUCGAGAAUUUACUGAUGAACCGAGAUUACAGUUUUAAAGAACUACAGCAGCAGAGAGAACUUCUACGUCGAGUCUUGCCUCUCAUCCAGUCAGGAUAUGGGCACCGUGUGGGAAGUGAAUUUUGGAGCCUCCCUCAGCACUAUGGAAACGAACUAAGUGGGAUCAGAGCCACUCUGACACAGACGGAACAAGGCAAACGGAAGCCUGUCACAAUUGUCGGACAGCCACACAGUAUACUCCAGGAAUCUGGAAUCACUUGUGCUGAGAUGCUACAUCCAGCUUCUCAGAUUUUGGACCCAAAUAUGGGCAUGCAGCAAUGUGCACUUCAAGAGGUCCAGCAGGGCUUGGAAAUCAACAAGAAGGAUCUCAACCAGCUGGUGGUGAUUGGCUCCAGCAGACCUGUUGGUAAAGAGGGCCACAGUAUUUUGUUGGAUGACGGAGAGAGUGUGAGCAAGCAGCGUUCAGAGAUACGAAACGAGAAUCCUGACCCAAUGCCAAAUAAUAAUGGUGGCAAGUCUAAUUCUCUCCUCAUACCUGGCCUGAGGUUUGCUGGUCAGCUUGCUCGCUGGACUGGAAAUUCUACUUGUCACCAGGGAAUGGUAGGAAUCAUCACAACAAUAAUAUUUGAGGCUCUUGUCGGAGAGCGGGUCUCGUCUCAGCUGGAGAUCAGCAAUGUGGGUAGCACAGCUCUUCUCUUCAGCUGGCAGCAACUUCCCCUGCCACAGAACUUCUCAAACCUGCAGUCACAAUCAAGCAGCCCACAUUUUUACUUCAACACCUCCUCUGGGGUCAUCUAUCCAGGUGAGACCCAGCAAGUGGAGUUUAUAUUUAAGUCAGCAAAGCCAGGCAUCCGAACUGAGCAGUGGCAGCUCAACACCCACCCUUUGCUGCUGAAAGGGGCCUCCAUUCAGGUCACACUGAAGGGGGUGUCACAGUUGCAGGACAAAACUGCAAGACAGCGGCAAUUCAUAGAGACAAAGCUGGAAGAGACAGCAAGACUGGAAAUAUGCCGCAAUAUCGUGUAUGAAUUGUUGCGAGGAAUUCAGACUCCAGAGAGAUCCAGCUCUCCUGCAGAGCCAUACACGUUGCAGUACUUUGAUCAGUCAGAAGAGGACCUAAAUAAGCUUUUGCAAGAAAUGAAUCCAGAACACAUCUGGGACCUCUCUGACACAUCCAGACAGGUAGAAACAUUAUACGACGAUGUGCCGCAAUCACACGUGUAUCCAUUUUAUGGUUGCUGCGCUUUCUUUGCCUGUAUAAGGACUUGAGAAAAUAAUUUCUCAAGCACUAUGAAGAUGAGAGCUUUUAUUGUGCUGGCUUACGUAGUCACAUCAUGAGUAGCUGUGUGUGCGUCAUGGCUCUAUGGAACUAUAAAUGUCUGUCAUGUGUAUAGUGAGAAACAGGCAUGCUUGUGUGAUAACAUAUUCUGCUCGGUUCUUCUCCCCUGUAAAAGCUGAGUCACAGGUCAGCUACAACCUGCUACUCGCAAAGGUACCUUGGUAACAGUAGACUGUAAAGAUGUGCAUCUGUGCUGGUCAAAUACAUACGGCUUUAACAUUGCCUCAGACGGCGCAGUUUCCAACAUAAGAUAUAUUUAAGUGGAAGUCAUACAGUCACAAUGCUGAAGUUACCUGCUGUAAUAAAAUACAUUUGAAAUACAACAAUAUUGUAGAGUAUAUACACAAAUAUUAGCAUCGACACUUUAGAUUCAGCAUUUAUGACAUUAUUAACCAGGAAAACUGCCAAAUAUGUCGUGUAGGACCAUUUCAAGUGUAUUAUUUUUCUCUCUCUCUUAUUUUCAAUCGCUCUUUUUACCUUGCUGAGGAUCAUUUCAGACUGGAUGAAUGGAAACAGGCUUAGCAGACUUAUUUCCCUCAUCCUAAAAAAAAUCAGUUCACUUUAAAACUUCCCAAAUUAAUGAAUGCAGCAUUUUUAAUCCUUAAAGGUCUACUGACACACAUGGCAUGAUUUUUAGGAGGUUAUUGAUUUAUAUAUUAAAAAAAAGGGCAGCCGGAAUGGACCCAUCUGUUUUUUCACCACACCUCAUGAUUUUGUCGUCUAUGGAUUUUUGUAUCUCCCUGGAAGAAAAUCCUCUCGAGGCAUUCAUUUUGGAGAAGAAGAAAGAAGUGAUGUUUUUUUCAGACGCCCACACUAGCGGGUUUUUGUGUUUAUUCCUGUUUAACGGCGGGAAAGUAGCUGUUUUUUCCUGUGUGUUAGCCAAAAUGUUGGCUCGUUGUAUUGCUGAAUAUUGUUCGAGCACUCGGGAGGAUGGAUUCACUCUUGACACGUUUCCAAAAGACCCGGUUUGCUGUAAAAAAUGGAUUGCACAGGUGCAAAGGAUGAGAGCUUCCUGGGUUCUAAAUGACAGGUAGGUGUGUAUAGAGCUAUUUAAAAAGAAAUAGUUCGGGGGGGGGGCGACGUAAUCCUCUCAGAAGUAACAAAAGAUCCACGUCAUAAUAACGUAAUAAAGUACAUAAGUCAGGGAUGCUAAAUGUGUCAAUGUGCGCGGCCGCUGCGUUGUUGUCAGCGUUGAUGGACAACACCGUCCCGGAGGUGGAACAGGCAGGGAUGUGGUUUGGCCACGUGCAGUUUGGCUGCAUGCGGGAGGAGAAAGGAGCCCUCCCACCCCCACCGGUGUUUCGCCCGGCAUGGGUCCUCCCGAGUAUGCUACAUACCGGCUCAUACAUACUGUCCGGGAGUCUGUUGUUAGUUAGAAAUGAUUUGCAUAUCUAAAUAUAUAUAUCUAAUGGCUCAAAACGAUAAGGUAAUACGGUCACUUCACUCGAUUGUGAGAUGUUCUCUUCUUCGAAAAGAGCUUCCGUGUUACAAGGGGCGUCGGAAAAAUCCAAAAAUCUCUGUUGGCACAGCGUUUUCUCAAUGGCGACUGUCCAAUUGUGACAGCUGUAAAUGACGUAGCAGGCAACAAGGCUACCACUGGGAUGUCGAGUGAGACUUCCACAACUUUGCGCAUGAAUGACACGCUCUCCGCACAUUUUUUUUGUACAGACAUUGAAGUGAAUAUAUGGAAUUAUUUGUAAUUUUCAAAAAAAUAUCAAUUUUACAAUGUAUAUAGGUAUGUCGGGAGACCUUGAAAGCAAAUCAGGGGUGUCCAAACUACAGCAAGGGGGCUAUUCACAGUCUACCAUCUCUUAUUUAGUAGCCAGCAGAAUAUACUAAAAUUAAUAGUUGACACACUGUCCUACUUAAUUUCUUUAGUUCGGUGAAAGGCGUAAGCAAAAAUGAAGACAUUUCUUCUUAUCGCUCCCUCGUUUUCUAUCAUUCAAUAAGACUGAAUACUCCUGUGACGGUUCAGUGUGCAUAGUUUUGCGUUUCGUAUUGUUGGGGGUGUGGGGCAUUUGGCCUAUUGUAACUGUCCAAGUGAUGCCCUCGACUACUGCUCUGAUAUGCCUACUACUAAUAAUGUUAAUCCAUGAUUUGAUAAUAUAGUGCUUUUCUAGCCCUGCAAGAACAACUAAAGAGAGUAACAAUAUUCCUAUUCAUAACACCUGGAUGGAUAAAGAUAAUUCAGUACAGCAGCAAAUAGUGUGAAUUGUGAUUGUUUGCUCCGCUUUCUGUUGUGUCAAGGUCACCUCGGCACAGAUUGCUCUUCUUUUGGUUCUAAAUGUCAAGAUGGGAUUCUGCAGCUGCUCAGUACAAGGCUGAGUUGAUUGUAGUCCACCCAAAAACUUUUUCAAAUCAUUAAUAGGUUGUUCUUUUUUUUAAAUAAACAUAUAUAAAAGCUAUCAUUGCUUUACCAACACUGAUGACUUGAUUUUUCAUUUUUUUCUGUAAAUACAUUAAAGGUAAAUAAUCCUCUGAGUCUUCUGUGGCCCUUGGAAGAAAAAGUAUUGACAUCCCUGAAGUAAAUCAAAAUAUAUUGUAUAUCAGCAUAGACUAAUAAAGCAAAUGAAAGGAUCAAGCCCAGACUUUGUAAGGUCAACAGGAAUUGACCCCUCCAUACAGGGCACUUAACCACGCCUCCUGAAGUGACGUCAAGCCUCGUGCGCUGACGUCAGACAAACAAUUAGCAAAAAUAUCGGCGCAGCAAGAAAAGAAUAGAGCGAAACUGUCCGAUUUACCGGCUGAUUUCUCACUCGCAUUCUUCGCUAACAGUGAAAUAUCGUUGAAAAGCAGACAGCAGGGCUUCAAGUAUUUCAGCGAGCGGUAUUUCAAUGAGGGGUCAAUUGUCCGUCCAUCCAUCCAUUUUCCCGAGCCGCUCAUCCUCACAAGGGUCACGGGAGUGCUGUGCCGCAGCCUUUCUCAUCUGUCAUCGGGCAGGAGGCGAACUCCACACGGGCAGGUCCGGGAUUUGAACCCCGGUCCUCAGGACUGAUCCUCUGGAUGAUGAAAUGGGCAGUCAACGUACUUCAAUGGAUAAAUUCAUUGAUGAUGAGCAAGACGCAAACUGUGAUGACACACAAGACAACACAGAUGAAUGAUGACAUUCUUA